rnacentral:rRNA from 1 species
UUUGGUUAAGUUAGAAAGGGCGCACGGUGGAUGCCUUGACACUAGGAGUCGAUGAAGGACGGGACUAACGCCGAUAUGCUUCGGGGAGCUGUAAGUAAGCUUUGAUCCGAAGAUUUCCGAAUGGGGAAACCCACCAUACGUAAUGGUAUGGUAUCCUUAUCUGAAUACAUAGGGUAAGGAAGACAGACCCAGGGAACUGAAACAUCUAAGUACCUGGAGGAAGAGAAAGCAAAUGCGAUUUCCUGAGUAGCGGCGAGCGAAACGGAACAUAGCCCAAACCAAGAGGCUUGCCUCUUGGGGUUGUAGGACAUUCUAUACGGAGUUACAAAGGAACGAGGUAGACGAAGCGACCUGGAAAGGUCCGUCGUAGAGGGUAACAACCCCGUAGUCGAAACUUCGUUCUCUCUUGAAUGUAUCCUGAGUACGGCGGAACACGUGAAAUUCCGUCGGAAUCUGGGAGGACCAUCUCCCAAGGCUAAAUACUCCCUAGUGAUCGAUAGUGAACCAGUACCGUGAGGGAAAGGUGAAAAGCACCCCGGAAGGGGAGUGAAAGAGAUCCUGAAACCGUGUGCC